UACGUAGGGUGCAAGCGUUGUCCGGAAUUAUUGGGCGUAAAGAGCUCGUAGGCGGUCUGUCACGUCGGAUGUGAAAACUCGGGGCUCAACCCCGAGCCUGCAUACGAUACGGGCAGACUUGAGUGUGGCAGGGGAGUCUGGAAUUCCUGGUGUAGCGGUGAAAUGCGCAGAUAUCAGGAGGAACACCGGUGGCGAAGGCGGGACUCUGGGCCAAUACUGACGCUGAGGAGCGAAAGCGUGGGGAGCGAACAGG
rnacentral:rRNA from 3 species